rnacentral:rRNA from 1 species
GAUCCUGGCUCAGGAUGAACGCUGGCGGCAUGCCUAAGACAUGCAAGUCGUACGAAGUGGCCCAUUGAUGAUUGAGUGCUUGCACAAGAUUUGAUUUGGAUUCCCACUUAGUGGCGCAAGGGUGAGUAACGCGUAGGUUAUCUGCCUUCGAGUUUGGAAUAACAAUUAGAAAUAGAUUGCUAAUGCCGGAUUAUAUUUAAGUAUGAUACGUUGUCUUAAAUUAAAAGGAAGCCUUUAAAGU